AGAACGAACGCUGGCGGCAUGCCUAAUACAUGCAAGUCGAACGAAGGCUUCGGCCUUAGUGGCGCACGGGUGCGUAACGCGUGGGAAUCUGCCCCUUGGUUCGGAAUAACAGUUGGAAACGACUGCUAAUACCGGAUGAUGACGAAAGUCCAAAGAUUUAUCGCCAAGGGAUGAGCCCGCGUAGGAUUAGCUAGUUGGUGAGGUAAAGGCUCACCAAGGCGACGAUCCUUAGCUGGUCUGAGAGGAUGAUCAGCCACACUGGGACUGAGACACGGCCCAGACUCCGUACGGGAGGCAGCAGUAGGGAAUAGUU
rnacentral:rRNA from 1 species